AGAGUUUGAUCCUGGCUCAGAACGAACGCUGGCGGCAGGCCUAACACAUGCAAGUCGAGCGCGCCUUCGGGUGAGCGGCGGACGGGUUAGUAACGCGUGGGAACGUGCCCUUCUCUACGGAAUAGCCUCUGGAAACGGAGAGUAAUACCGUAUACGCCCUUUGGGGGAAAGAUUUAUCGGAGAAGGAUCGGCCCGCGUUAGAUUAGGUAGUUGGUGGGGUAACGGCCUACCAAGCCUACGAUCUAUAGCUGGUUUUAGAGGAUGAUCAGCAACACUGGGACUGAGACACGGCCCAGACUCCUACGGGAGGCAGCAGUGGGGAAUCUUAGACAAUGGGGGCAACCCUGAUCUAGCCAUGCCGCGUGAGUGAUGAAGGCCUUAGGGUCGUAAAGCUCUUUCGCCUGUGAUGAUAAUGACAGUAGCAGGUAAAGAAACCCCGGCUAACUCCGUGCCAGCAGCCGCGGUAAUACGGAGGGGGUUAGCGUUGUUCGGAAUUACUGGGCGUAAAGCGCGCGUAGGCGGAUUAGAAAGUUGGGGGUGAAAUCCCGGGGCUCAACCUCGGAACUGCCUCCAAAACUGCUAGUCUAGAGUUCGAGAGAGGUGAGUGGAAUUCCGAGUGUAGAGGUGAAAUUCGUAGAUAUUCGGAGGAACACCAGUGGCGAAGGCGGCUCACUGGCUCGAUACUGACGCUGAGGUGCGAAAGUGUGGGGAGCAAACAGGAUUAGAUACCCUGGUAGUCCACACCGUAAACGAUGAAUGCCAGUCGUCGGGUAGUAUACUAUUCGGUGACACACCUAACGGAUUAAGCAUUCCGCCUGGGGAGUACGGUCGCAAGAUUAAAACUCAAAGGAAUUGACGG
rnacentral:rRNA from 1 species